GGAUUGGGAGGGUUCUACGGAACCCGUUUGGUGAAUCUAGUGCCGAGAAAAGCCUUCUAUGUGUUGAGUUUCUAGUACCCGUACCCCAAACCGACACAGGUGGGUGGGUAGAGCAUACCUAGGGGCGCGUGAUAACUCUCUCUAAGGAACUCGGCAAAAUGGCCCUGUAACUUCGGGAUAAGGGGUGCCUGCGUGAGCAGGCCGCAGUGAAAUGGCUCUGGCGACUGUUUACCAUAAACACAGGUCUCUGCUAAGUCGUAAGACGAUGUAUAGGGGCUGACUCCUGCCCAGUGCCGGAAGGUUAAGGAAGUUGGUUAGCGCAAGCGAAGCUGGCGACCGAAGCCCCGGUGAACGGCGGCCGUAACAAUAACGGUCCUAAGGUAGCGAAAUUCCUUGUCGGGUAAGAUCCGACCCGCACGAAAGGAGUAACGAUCAGAGCGCUGUCUCGGAGAGAGACACGGCGAAAUAGGAUUGUCCGUGAAGAUACGGACUACCUGCACCCGGACAGAAAGACCCUAUGAAGCUUUACUGUAACUUGGAAUUGUGUUCGGACUUUGUCUGCGCAGAAUAGGUGGGAGGCUAUGAAACGUUCCUCGCGGGGAACUGGAGCCAUCGUUGAGAUACCACUCUGGCAGAGUCUGGAUUCUAACCUACGGGGACAGUUCCAGGUGGGCAGUUUGACUGGGGCGGUCGCCUCCUAAAAUGUAACGGAGGCGCGCAAAGGUUCCCUCAGGCUGGUUGGAAAUCAGCCAUAGAGUGUAAAAGCAUAAGGGAGCUUGACUGUGAGACCUACAAGUCGAGCAGGGACGAAAGUCGGCUUUAGUGAUCCGACGGCACUGAGUGGAAGGGCCGUCGCUCAACGGAUAAAAGUUACUCUAAGGAUAACAGGCUGAUCUCCCCCAAGAGUUCACAUCGACGGGGAGGUUUGGCACCUCGAUGUCGGCUCGUCGCAACCUGGGGCGGUAGUACGUCCCAAGGGUUGGGCUGUUCGCCCAUUAAAGCGGCACGUGAGCUGGGUUCAGAACGUCGUGAGACAGUUCGGUCCAUAUCCGGUGUAGGCGUAGGAGCAUUGAAAGGAUCUCUCCUUAGUACGAGAGGACCGGGAGGGACGUACCUCUGGUGUACCUGUUAUCGUGCCAACGGUAAACGCAGGGUAGCCAUGUACGGAGUGGAUAACCGCUGAAAGCAUCUAAGUGGGAAGCCCACCUUAAGAUGAGUGCUCCCUUGAGGCCACGGGAAGACGACCCGUUUGAUAGGCGCUAGGUGGAAGUGCAGUAAUGCACGCAGCCGAGGCGUACUAAUAGGCCGAUGGCUUGUCU
rnacentral:rRNA from 1 species